AUGGCAUCGGAGAAGGUGGAGACGAUCGUGGCGGGGAACUACGUGGAGAUGGAGAGAGAAGGGGGCGACGGCGAGCAUCAGGCAGGGGCCGGGGUAGACGGCGGAGAGGGCGGCGGCGCGGCGCCGUCGGGGAGGAGCAAGCUGGUGUCGAGCCUCUUCUGGCACGGCGGCUCGGCCUACGACGCGUGGUUCAGCUGCUCCUCCAACCAGGUGGCGCAGGUGCUGCUGACGCUGCCCUACUCCUUCUCCCAGCUCGGGAUGGCGAGCGGCAUCGCGCUGCAGCUCUUCUACGGGCUCAUGGGGAGCUGGACGGCGUACCUCAUCAGCGUGCUGUACGUGGAGUACCGGACGCGCAAGGAGCGGGACAAGGCGGACUUCCGGGGCCACGUCAUCCAGUGGUUCGAGGUCCUGGACGGCCUCCUCGGCGCGCACUGGCGCAACGCCGGCCUCUUCUUCAACUGCACCUUCCUCCUCUUCGGCUCCGUCAUCCAGCUCAUCGCCUGCGCCAGCAACAUCUACUACAUCAACGACUCCAUGGACAAGCGGACGUGGACCUACAUCUUCGGCGCCUGCUGCGCCACCACCGUCUUCAUCCCCUCCUUCCACAACUACCGGAUGUGGUCCUUCCUCGGCCUCCUCAUGACCACCUACACCGCCUGGUACCUCACCGCCGCCGCCCUCGUCCACGGCAGGCUGGAGGGGGUCACCCACUCCGCGCCGACCAAGAUGGUGCUCUACUUCACCGGCGCCACCAACAUCCUCUACACCUUCGGAGGCCACGCUGUCACUGUUGAGAUCAUGCACGCCAUGUGGAAGCCGCAGAAGUUCAAGCUCAUCUACCUCAUGGCCACGCUCUACGUGCUGACGCUGACGCUGCCGUCCGCGUCCGCCAUGUACUGGGCCUUCGGCGACGCCCUGCUCGACCACUCCAACGCCUUCUCCCUCCUCCCGCGCACGCCCUUCCGCGACGCCGCCGUCGUCCUCAUGCUCAUCCACCAGUUCAUCACCUUCGGCUUCGCCUGCACGCCGCUCUACUUCGUCUGGGAGAAGGCCAUCGGCGUGCACGGCGACCGCACCGGCGUCUUCCGCAGGGCGGCGGCGCGGCUCCCCGUCGUGGCGCCCAUCUGGUUCCUGGCCGUCGUCUUCCCCUUCUUCGGCCCCAUCAACUCCACCGUGGGGUCCCUCCUCGUCAGCUUCACCGUGUACAUCAUCCCCGCCGCGGCGCACAUGGCCGUCUUCGCGGCGCCGGCGGCCAGGGAGGGCGCCGUGGAGCGGCCGCCGCGGGGACUCGGGGGGUGGGCCGGGAUGUACGCCGCCAACUGCUUCGUGGUGGCGUGGGUGCUCGUCGUCGGCUUCGGGUUCGGCGGCUGGGCCAGCACCGUCAACUUUGUGCGCCAGGUCAACACCUUCGGACUCUUCACCAAGUGCUACCAGUGCCCUCCAAGGCACUAA
rnacentral:rRNA from 1 species